rnacentral:lncRNA from 1 species
AUGAUGCAGUGUGUGAUUGCAGUCGCGGACAAAGUAUUCGAUGCCUUCCUGAACAUGAUGGCGGAUAAAGCCAAGACCAAGGAGAACGAGGAGGAGCUGGAGCGGCACGCUCAGUUCCUGUUGGUGAACUUCAACCACAUCCACAAGAGGAUAAGGAGGGUGGCAGACGAGUAUCUAUCUGGUCUGGUGGAUAAGUUUCCCCACUUGCUCUGGAGCGGGACUGUGCUGAAGACCAUGCUGGACAUCCUGCAGACCCUGUCUCUGUCACUGAGCGCUGUGAGUAUCCCCAGGAGACCUAGGGCCCAAACACCACUUGCUCUACCACUACCCCGCCGGCCCUGUCCGCCCUGUGUUGUGGCAUGCUUCUCUGACAAUAAGCCUGAACAUAAUUAAUGCUACAGGUGUCGAGUUGGGGGUGAGGGGGGCCCAAAUCCACCUGGUGUUUUGCAGUAAGUUGCAUCAAGUAUGGAGGCCUGUCACAGACAGACAGGUGGUGGGUAGGGGUGGCCCAUGUGGUUGCUAGUGGCAACUUGGGGAAGGCAGUUUGGAAGAGGGAGUCUUGCUGUGCUUGCAGGAUAUUCACAAGGAUCAGCCUUACUAUGACAUCCCCGACGCCCCCUACCGGAUCACGGUUCCUGACACGUACGAAGCCCGUGAGGUAGGCCCGACACGAUCCCCUGCACUAAGGGCCAUCUUUACCACAGUUCCCUGAGUAUGUCCACGAGAUGGUCAACCUGCAUGAGCUCACCCAGUCCCCAGCAAUUCGAGGUGUGGGUGGUGCUGGCCCCGUCCCCCAGUGAGGAGACCAAGCCAUUGCCAGGCCCCACCGUGUGCAAGGGGAGCCGGCUGCCCCCAGGUCGCUCUGUCUUCCAAGCCCAGCUCUCCCACCUCAGCCAUGUUGACUCAGCUGUAUUCUCGGUUUAGCUGCCAAAGAGGUCUUCAGCUACCAGCCAGUUUAUAGCCUCUCAAGUCUGCGUCGCACAAGCAUGAUUUUCAGGUGGACUUCACUUCUCUGAGGUGCACUGACAUUUUGUUAUUGUGGUAAUAGGGGAUCAUGCCUUUGACUUGUGCUAUCCAAUGGGGAAACUGGCAGAAUAAAUCACUCCAAAAGAGGAGGAUGUACUGGGUCUCUCCUCUCCCCAACUCGGUCUCAGAGCCCUCACUGUGGCAAGACUGCAACUCAGCUCACAGCUCCUUCAGCCUGGGCUGAGUCAUGUCCUACCUCUGGACCUCCCUGCCAGACCAGCUGUCAAUGGGGAGUUUCCCACAGAGUGGUGUGGCACCGAAGAGGAUUUUGCCACGCAGAGCCUGCCCUUCCAUCCAGUCCCAGACCCAGGACACAAGUUGCACAGUGUCCCUGUGACAUAUUAUUCAUGUAGAUUCUGCCACAAACCUUGUCCAGGAAUUACAGAUCAUAGUGUGUGUGGGCUUCCUGGCCCCAGGGGCCUUGAGGUUCAAACUUAGUGGCUGUGCUAGUCUCUUGGGCUUCUGUAGCAAAAGACAACAGACUGGGCAGCUUGAAAUGUCUUGACAGACAUUGAUUGUCUUACAGUUCUGAGGGCCGAAGUGUAAAAUCAAAGCGUUGGCAGAGCUGGUUU